UUGUGAUUAUUCAAUUAUUGUAACUGGAAAUUGUAUUACUCACUAAUUCAUUAUUCCUCUGUGAAAACUGCGAAGACCAAUUGCCGACCUGACGUUUUUCGUUUCUAUUGUUUAUAAUUUUAAGUUUAUUUUUUUACUCGGAAAAAUUUCUUACAUAGUUAAGUGCCAGAACAAAAGAAAACGAUUAAGCUGGAACGUUUUAACGUGUGGGUCGAUUUUUUACAAUGAUUUUAAAAAGAACAUGAAAUUAAUGUACAUCAUGACAUUUAAAUCAAAAACACAGACAGUUGAAUAAAAGCCAUUGCAGCAGGCCAUUUCAUCAUCAUUAUGUGAAGCUUAUAUUGAUUCUAAUCAGUUUCUUCAAUUAUCCAUUUAUCCACAAUGGAAGAACCUUAUUUAUUAAAAAAGAAGAAUGACAACAUUGACAACUACUAAAGUGAUUCAGAAAACAACCUUAAUAAUAAAAAUAAACUAUCCCGGAUAUUGUAUGCUGGUCAGUUAGAAAAUUUCAUCA